rnacentral:rRNA from 1 species
CCUACGGGUGGCAGCAGUGGGGAAUAUUGGACAAUGGGGGAAACCCUGAUCCAGCGACGCCGCGUGAGUGAAGAAGUAUUUCGGUACGUAAAGCUCUAUCAGCAGGGAAGAAAAUGACGGUACCUGACUAAGAAGCCCCGGCUAACUACGUGCCAGCAGCCGCGGUCAUACGUAGGGGGCAAGCGUUAUCCGGAUUUACUGGGUGUAAAGGGAGCGUAGACGGCUGUGCAAGUCUGGAGUGAAAUGCCGGGGCUCAACCCCGGAACUGCGCGGGAAACUGUGAAGCUGGAGUGCAGGAGAGGUAGGCGGAAUUCCUGGUGUAGCGGUGAAAUGCGUAGAUAUCAGGAGGAACACCGGCGGCGAAGGCGGCUUACUGGACUGUAACUGACGUUGAGGCUCGAAGGCGUGGGGAGCAAACAGGAUUAGAUACCCGAGUAGUC